rnacentral:rRNA from 1 species
AGCAGUCGCCGCGGUAAUACGUAGGUGGCAAGCGUUGUCCGGAAUUAUUGGGCGUAAAGCGCGCGCAGGCGGUUUCUUAAGUCUGAUGUGAAAGCCCCCGGCUUAACCGGGGAGGGUCGUUGGAAACUGGGAGACUUAGAGUGCAGAAGAGGAGAGUGGAGUUCCAUGUGUAGCGGUGAAAUGCGUAGAUAUAUGGAGGAACACCAGUGGCGAAGGCGACUCUCUGGUCUGUAGCUGACGCUGAGGCGCGAAAGCGUGGGGAGCAAACAGGAUUAGAUACCCCCGUAGUCCCUGUCUCUUAUA